AGCGAACGCUGGCGGCAGGCUUAACACAUGCAAGUCGAGCGGGCGUAGCAAUACGUCAGCGGCAGACGGGUGAGUAACGCGUGGGAACAUACCUUUUGGUUCGGAACAACACAGGGAAACUUGUGCUAAUACCGGAUAAGCCCUUACGGGGAAAGAUUAUCGCCGAAAGAUUGGCCCGCGUCUGAUUAGCUAGUUGGUGAGGUAACGGCUCACCAAGGCGACGAUCAGUAGCUGGUCNGA
rnacentral:rRNA from 1 species